rnacentral:lncRNA from 1 species
CACGAGAGUAUAAAAAACAGAGUAUUAAGAUAUAUUAUCAACUUAAAGAAACAGAUUCAGAAACAUAGUAUCAUUUUAACAUAGUAUCAACUCAAAGAAACAGACUCAGAAACAUAGUAUCAACUCAAAGAAACAGACUCAUAAUCACCCAAGACAUUUCAUAUAGAUCAUCACAUAAGAUCAAGGUAGCCUUCUGAAAUAGAUCUCCACUGUUUGAAGAACCUGAUGGAUGACU